rnacentral:rRNA from 1 species
ACUUUAACCCACUUAAGGGAACCUGUCCUUUAAUUCGAUAAUCCAGGACAAUCUUAUUUAUUUUAGAACAAUUCAGCUUGUAUACCGUCGUCACAAGUUAACCUUAAAAAGAAAAAAAGUUAACAAUAAAGAUAGACUUUACUUUUGUCUAACAGGUCAGAUCAAGGUGCAGCCAAUAAAUAAAGAGGAGAUGGGUUACAAUUAACAAUUUCUAAUGGAAUCUUAAAAGAAAAAUAAAGAAAGAAAUAGGACUUAAAAGUAAUUUGUAAAAACAAGUACCAAUGAAUAAGGAAACAAAGUGUGC